rnacentral:rRNA from 1 species
GGAGGGUGCAAGCGUUAUCCGGAUUCACUGGGUUUAAAGGGUGCGUAGGCGGAUAGGGAAGUCCGUGGUGAAAUCCUGCAGCUUAACUGCAGAACUGCCGUGGAUACUCUCUAUCUUGAAUAUCGUGGAGGUUAGCGGAAUAUGUCAUGUAGCGGUGAAAUGCUUAGAUAUGACAUAGAACACCCAUUGCGAAGGCAGCUAACUACGCGAUCAUUGACGCUGAUGCACGAAAGCGUGGGGAUCAAACAGGAUUAGAUACCCUGGUAGUCCACGCCCUAAACGAUGAUUACUCGACAUUGGUGAUACACAGUCAGUGUCUGAGCGAAAGCAUUAAGUAAUCCACCUGGGAAGUACGAUCGCAAGAUUG